GACGAACGCUGGCGGCGUGCCUAAUACAUGCAAGUCGAGCGGACGAAUCGAAAGCUUGCUUUUGAUUCGUUAGCGGCGGACGGGUGAGUAACACGUGGGCAACCUGCCCUGUAGACGGGGAUAACACCGAGAAAUCGGUGCUAAUACCGGAUAACACGAAAUGUCGCAUGACGUUUCGUUGAAAGACGGCGCAAGCUGCCGCUACAGGAUGGGCCCGCGGCGCAUUAGCUAGUUGGUGAGGUAACGGCUCACCAAGGCGACGAUACGUAGCCGACCUGAGAGGGUGAACGGCCACACUGGGACUGAGACACGGCCCAGACUCCUACGGGAGGCAGCAGUAGGGAAUCUUCCGCAAUGGACGAAAGUCUGACGGAGCAACGCCGCGUGAGCGAAGAAGGCCUUCGGGUCGUAAAGCUCUGUUGUUAGGGAAGAACAAGUAACGCAGUAACUGGCGUUACCGUGACGGUACCUAACGAGAAAGCCACGGCUAACUACGUG
rnacentral:rRNA from 1 species